GCCGGGCGCGGUGGCGUGUGCCUGUGGUCCCAGCUACUCGGGAGGCCCAGGCGGGAGGAUCGCUUGAGCCCAGGAGUUCUGGGCUGUAGUGCGCUGUGCCGAUCAGGUGUCUGCACUAAGUUCUGCAUCAAUAUGGUGACCUCCCGGGAGCAGGGACCAUCAGGUUGCCUAAGGAGGGGUGAACCGGCCCAGGUUGGAAACGGAGCAGGUCAAAACUCCUGUGCUGAUCAGUAGUGGGAUCUCACCUGUGAAUAGCCACUGCACUCCAGCCUGGGCAACAUAGCGAGACCCCAUCUCUA
ensembl:misc_RNA Metazoa_SRP Metazoan signal recognition particle RNA